GAAACAACUUAUACAUAGGUGCUUACAUUGAUUAGUGUUAAAAGCUCUGAUUUCGAGGAUAGAGAAUGCCUCCAAUGCAAAUUGGAUUGAAUUCUGAUUCAUUACUGCAUAAUUGGUAAUGUAUAACCAUAUAAACUACAUAAUACCAAAGAUCCUCCUUACUAACAGCAUCAUAAUAAACCUCAUCUAGAACUAUCUGAGUCAUUAAUUAUUUAAUUAAUUUAUAAUAAACAAAAUCAGUCCACUGGUUAGGCUUAAUUUUAGAUUUCCGAGUACACACUUACACCCACAGAGGGCCUAACGACAUGAAUUCAUGCAGUGCAAGUAUUUUCUGUGGGUUUGCAAUGCGUAAAAGGUCUUGGAUUUGUAAUCCUGAACUUACAAGAGUUGAUUCAAUUGGUUGGAUCAAUGGCACUGAGGAAAUGGUCUUGGCUUUGAUUUCAGCUAGUGAACUCCCAGUGGCAGAUAAUUUGUAAGCACAUUUUAAGGCCUUGAAGCAUAGUGUGACCUUGCAUUAAGGCAGCCCCUCUCCCCAAACCUCUAUGCAUAAAAAAUUAAAUAAAAUAAAGUCUUCUAAAUUCUAAUUACUUCAAUUAGUCUUGUCAGAUUAUAUUUUUACUGCUAAGUUUAUCUCAAUGUUUAUCUUGUUCAGAUGUUGCUUACUUUCUAGUUGUCUAAAUUGAUUGCAGCAGUGGAUGAUAUGAUACUGUUUUGUUAUUACUAUACUAGUAGCCUAGUAGUGUGGUUGUUCAGCAUAUAACAUACCUAUCAUAGCAAACAUCUGAGCAUAGUUUGGUUUUUGCCAAGGAGGUUGAUGUUGGUAUCAUGUC
rnacentral:lncRNA from 1 species